GUCGCCCCCGCAGCGCCCCGUACCGCGUGCGGCCCCCACCGCCCGGCCCGAGCUGCGGCGCUGCCGGCUGCUGACAUUUCCGCGGUUAUUGCUCCGCUCCGAGCUCUGCCAUCGCCGUUACAAUGGGAACAAUUACACUCAAUUAUUCUCCACCACACCGUUGACAAAAAAAGAUGGCAUUUAAACUUUAAUUAUUCUCUCGGUGUGCGUGAGCAGCAUGGCCCGCAGCCCGGGCAGCCCCUCAGCACUGCUCCGUCUGCACCGAGCGGUGACCCCGGGAUCGUGCUGCCACCGGGGAGGGAUGGGAGGAGCCCAGCACCCACCCCGAGCCCGGCGGGGGCUGCAGGGAGCGGUCGGAGCCCAGCACCCACCACCCGCACACGUGCAGCGUGGCAUCACGGAGGCAGUAAAUCCCAGAGCCCGGAGCAGCUGCAACUCGGAGCAGCUUUUUCCAUAAAGGCAGAGGCACGUUAUUUAAGGCUGCUCUUAAAACCUAAUGUUAGGUUUAAUAAGGGAGAUAAAAGCGUGCCAGAGGCUGUCCUGCGCGGGGCUGCGCGCUGCCGGCUGUGCAGGUGGAUGGGCCCUGCGUCCUGCUGGCACGGCCACACCAACACCCACCCCGGCGAUGCGGUGACCCCACUCCCGCUGGCACUGCCAGCAGAGGGCUGGCAUCGUGUGGGCACAGAGCCCUCGGACCCAAACACGGGGCUUUUGGCCCCAAGCAGCCUCCCCCGCUGUGCCCCUCCCCCUCACCCCCCCCCCCCCAUGCUGACCUCUCCCCACCUGCCCCCGCACGCAGGGCGUGUGCCAUCUCAUUAGUGUGUCUGUCCCCCAAAGUGAGAAGGGAGAGAGCGUGAGACCUAAUUGAAUGUAACUAAUUAUUCACUCUGCAAAUGCUGUUUAAAUGGGAUUGUGAGGGACAAAAUUACUCAUUCUGAAAAGGGGAGAGAAAGAGAGAAAGACAGAGAGAAAACAAAUAGAGGCGGGUGCUGGAGCUGCAGCUCCCUCUCUCCCCAGAAUACCAAUUACCGGAUGAAGUGAUUGUAUAAAUCUUUACCGAGUGAACGAACUGUAGUAGUCACUUACUUCUGUCCUCUUAUUACACGGAAGCAAUGAAAAAUCGUCCCUCUCUGCAGUCCAGUUAAGGGCUCCCAAGCGCUGUGCGAUGCUCUCUGCACGGCUGCGCAGCUCGGCCCCGGCGUGCGUCGGGGUGAUGACCCUACAGACGUGGGGCCAAGCACUUGGCACUGGGCUGGGCCCACUGCUCACGGCCCACACGGGUGCAGCAUUGGCAUGCACAGGGCUGGGGGAUCCCAGACCCCGUAUGGCACACGCAGUGGCCUGGUUCCACUCAAGGUGCUGUGGGUGGGCUGUGGUCACAGCAGUGCUGUGCCACCAGCAGCCCAAGCCCCCCAAGCCCUCCAUCCCCGGGCCCACAUGGCUCAGAUACAUGUUGAGGAUGCACUGGAGGAGUUGAGCUGUUGGGUCUCUCCAAGCAGCCCCGUGGCCAGACAGUGGAGGGGUGGAGGGCUGAGGGAACCCGCAGGCUGUCUUGCCUUGUGCUGGAUGGCAUCUGGCUGCUGCCGGCAGCAAGCUCCCAUGCACUGCGUGGGUGUGAGGGAGUGAUAACAUCAUCAUCAUCAUAACAAAUGCAGCUGUGCAGCUCCAUUCUGUGCUUAUUGGCUUUCUUCUGUUUAUCUAUAAAUAAUUGUGGGGACACAAUAGACUUUUAAGACUGCCGAAGAGUUCGUCUCCCUCCAGGAACCGUAUUGCCACAGUGCUGCCACCUUAUCUGCUCGUAGAAAGAUGAGGGUGGGAAAAAUAUUUACUGUCGGGGAUAUUUGUCAUCUGCAAAUUACCUCUGCCUACAGCCUGCAGCGGGAGCAGGGCUGACAGCUCCCAGCUGCACCGCAGGAACACGAGCACUGUGUUCUCCAUGCAGCCCCAGCCCCACCCGAGCCCCCCCAUGGGCCAGCACUGUGCACACGGGUCCAACCCUAGCAAUGCACUCUGCCUGCUGCCCCCAGCCCCGAUCCCAUUGCAUCCCACCCAUCUGCAGCGCAGCGCUUCCACGCAGCACUUAUCACUGCUGUAUCCAAGAACAGAUCUAAUUGAUGUGACACCAAUUAUUCAAGUAUCACUAAACGCAGAACUAAUGCAUCUCUGUGUACAAACCUCCUAGCCCCUGACCAUGAAAUUAUAACUCUGACGUGGAAGGAGCCAGCAUGAGAGAGCCAACUCUGGGCUGGCGCUGCCAGGAUGCUGUCAGCUGCACGGAGGUGCCCGCAGCCCCUCUCGCUGCAGGAGAGCAGAGCCCUGCUGGAUGGGCAGUGCCAGACUUGGGCAGCAUCAGCCCAGCGGUGCAUGGACGGCACGUGGAGCUGCGUGCUCUGCAGGCAGCACAAGAGUUGUUUCUAGACUGCUCAGCAGCUAGCAAGGCUCUUGGCUUGGAUGUGGACUGGUGCUGGGAAAGGCCAUUUGUGGCAUCUGAAACCUUACUGUGAAAUUAAGCUAUGCCUGGACACACACAGCUCGCCAUAGCGGCAGUUUGCAUUUUGUAAAUUGCUUUUUGCGUUAAAUUAAAGGGAUGGCUGAUAGCCCCGUGGGGGCAGAGCCCCGCACCCCGUGUCGCACCGCAGCCCCCAGCAUCCCUGGGGCAGCAGCCCCAGCACUCCCACCCAUGCUGGGGGACACAGCACGGGGCAAAGCUCUGCCUCCUCCGGGCACAUCUGGAUGUGCUGCUCAGAUGGCCGAGGGCUCGUCCCACUUCUGCUUCGCUCAAUGUUUUCAUUAAAGACCCAGGUGAUGGAAUAGAGAAAGCGCUUAUUAAAUUUGCAGAUGACACGAAGCUGGGAGGGACUACAAGUAUCUUGGAGGACAGGAUUGGAAUUCAAAAUGAUCUUGACAAAUUGGAGAAAUGGACUGGAAAGAAUAGGAUGAAAUUCAACAGGGAUGAGUGCGAGGUACUGCACAGUGAUGGGAACCGGCGGCAGAGCAACCAGCCUGGAGACAGCAGGGGGGCUGCAGGGCACCCCGCCAUCCCGGGGCCAUGCCCAGGGCCCCCCUGCUGCCUUCCCAUCGCUCCAGCAAUUAGAGCUCCCGCCAGCACCCUCCGCCUGUGCAAACACCCGAGACUCAUUUAAAUAAAUUAAGAAGACAUAAUAAAUCAAAGGGAAAUGAGGGGCUGUGCCUGGGGGCAGGGGAGUCACUCGAGUUUAAUUACAUUGGCAAAGCUGCUGCAGCCGGCACGGCGCGUCCCAUGCACUGCUCUGCAUGGGGGGCAGGCAGGCAGGCAGGCACACACCCAGCACCCAGUGCCCAGCACCCAGCACCUGGCCCAGCCCUCAGCACCCAGCACUCAGCACCUGGCCCAGCACAGUGCCCCGCAG
rnacentral:lncRNA from 1 species